AUUUAUUUGAACCUGAGAAUACAGACGAAGAACUCGCCUCACAAGCGUUGGAAAGAACCACACAGAGAGAGGGGAAACAGGCUGAUGAA